rnacentral:rRNA from 1 species
GAUCAUGGCUCAGAUUGAACGCUGGCGGCAGGCUUAACACAUGCAAGUCGAACGGUAACAGGAGAAAGCUUGCUUUCUUGCUGACGAGUGGCGGACGGGUGAGUAAUGCUUGGGAAUCUGGCUUAUGGAGGGGGAUAACGACGGGAAACUGUCGCUAAUACCGCGUAGAGUCGAGAGACGAAAGUGGGGGACCGCAAGCGC